rnacentral:rRNA from 1 species
GCUUAGCCCUAAACCCAGAUAUUUAUAUACAAAAAUAUCCGCCAGAGAACUACGAGCAUAAACGCUUAAAACUCUAAGGACUUGGCGGUACCUCAAACCCACCUAGAGGAGCCUGUUCUAUAACCGAUAAUCCACGAUCUACCUCACCAUCUCUUGCCAACCCGCCUAUAUACCACCGUCACCAGCUUACCCUAUGAAGGAUAUAAAAGUAAGCAAAACAAUACAAAUCAUUAACAAGUCAGGUCAAGGUGUAGCUAACUGAGAUGGAAGAAAUGGGCUACAUUUUCUAUAUUAGAAAUUACUCACGGAAAGGAACUAUGAAACUAGUCCUAAAAGCAGGAUUUAGCAGUAAACUGGGAACAGAGAGCCCAAUUUAAACCGGUCCUGAGGUGC